rnacentral:rRNA from 1 species
GACGAACGCUGGCGGCGUGCUUAACACAUGCAAGUCGAACGGAAAGGCCCUGCUUUUGUGGGGUGCUCGAGUGGCGAACGGGUGAGUAACACGUGAGUAACCUGCCCUUGACUUUGGGAUAACUUCAGGAAACUGGGGCUAAUACCGGAUAGGAUCUCCUGCUGCAUGGUGGGGGUUGGAAAGUUUCGGCGGUUGGGGAUGGACUCGCGGCUUAUCAGCUUGUUGGUUGGGUAGUGGCUUACCAAGGCUUUGACGGGUAGCCGGACUGAGAGGGUGACCGGCCACAUUGGGACUGAGAUACGGCCCAGACUCCUACGGGAGGCAGCAGUGGGGAAUAUUGCACAAUGGGCGGAAGCCUGAUGCAGAAACGCCGCGUGCGGGAUGACGGCCUUCGGGUUGUAAACCGCUUUCGCCUGUGACGAAGCGUGAGUGACGGUAAUGGGUAAAGAAGCACCGGCUAACUACGUG